rnacentral:rRNA from 1 species
GCGAAGGCAGCGUACCGGCGCCAGACUGACGCUGAGGCACGAAAGCGUGGGGAUCGAACAGGAUUAGAUACCCUGGUAGUCCACGCAGUAAACGAUGAAUGCUGGUUGUCCGGGUCGAAUGAGAUCUGGGCGGCGAAGCGAAAGCGAUAAGCAUUCCACCUGGGGAGUACGCCGGCAACGGUGAAACUCAAAGGAAUUGACGGGGGCCCGCACAAGCGGAGGAACAUGUGGUUUAAUUCGAUGAUACGCGAGGAACCUUACCCGGGCUCAAACGGGAGUGGAAUGGACCAGAGACGGUUCAGCCUACGGGCCGCUUCCGAGGUGCUGCAUGGUUGUCGUCAGCUCGUGCCGUGAGGUGUCGGCUUAAGUGCCAUAACGAGCGCAACCCCCGCCGGCAGUUGCUAACGGGCAAUGCCGAGGACUCUGCCGGGACUGCCGCCGCAAGGCGAGAGGAAGGCGGGGAUGACGUCAAAUCAGCACGGCCCUUACGUCCGGGGCGACACACGUGUUACAAUGGGCGGUACAGCGGGAAGCCAGGCGGCGACGCCGAGCGGAACCCGAAAGCCGUUCUCAGUUCGGAUCGGAGUCUGCAACCCGACUCCGUGAAGCUGGAUUCGCUAGUAAUCGCGCAUCAGCCAUGGCGCGGUGAAUACGUUCCCGGGCCUUGUACACACCGCCCGUCAAGCCAUGGGAGCCGGGGGUGCUUGAAGUGCGUCGCCGCGAGGCGCGCCCUAGAGCAAAACCGGUGACUGGGGCUAAGUCGUAACAAGGUAACCGUAA